rnacentral:rRNA from 1 species
UGCGUAGGUGGCGCCGUAAGUCGGAUGUGAAAUUUCGGAGCUUAACUCCGAAACUGCAUUCGAUACUGCGGUGCUUGAGGACUGGAGAGGAGACUGGAAUUCAUGGUGUAGCAGUGAAAUGCGUAGAGAUCAUGAGGAAGACCAGUGGCGAAGGCGGGUCUCUGGACAGUUCCUGACACUGGGGCACGAAGGCCAGGGGAGCAAACG